rnacentral:tRNA from 1 species
UCACCUGUAGCUCAGUUGGUAGAGCAUGGUGUUUGCAAUGCCAGGGUUGUGGGUUUGAUUCCCACGGGGGAC